rnacentral:rRNA from 1 species
UACGGGGGGGGCAAGCGUUGUUCGGAAUUACUGGGCGUAAAGGGCUCGUAGGUGGCCAACUAAGUCAGACGUGAAAUCCCCCGGCUUAACCUGGGAACUGCGUCUGAUACUGGAAGGCUUGAGUAUGGGAGAGGGAUGUAGAAUUCCAGGUGUAGCGGUGAAAUGCGUAGAUAUCUGGAGGAACACCGGUGGCGAAGGCGGCAUCCUGGACCGGCAUUGACGCUGAGGCGCGAAAGCCAGGGGAGCAAACGGGG